rnacentral:lncRNA from 1 species
CCGCACUUAUCUAUUGUUCAUCAAAAAUACAUAUCAUACUCAUUAAUAUGAUUGUUGUAACAAAAAAAUAUAGAAAUCCUAGAACUCCUAGGGAUCAUAAACUCACGAUGCUUUCUUGGUUUCUCCAGCAUUUGAUUCCUCCACGCAAUGUAGCUGCAAUAUACAGAAGAUCUUUUUAAAAAAUUAUAAUACGAAGACAACAAUUCUAAUAUAAGCAAAAACGACAAUAAACAAUAAAAAUCAAAUGAACAAUAUAACAUGUUCGUCAAGAACACCUUCUUCGAAGCCCCAGCCCACUAAAGCGCAAAUGUUCGUCAAGUGACACAGUAAUGUUAUGUAAGAUCAGUGAACAAAGAAAAGCUUGUUCACCUUCUACAAUGGAGUGUUCCAUAAUGGUUGCAAAU